rnacentral:lncRNA from 1 species
AUGGUACUUUGCAAAGCAGGAAGCACACAGGACACGCGGCCACCAGGCCACAAUAAUGAUGACGUCCCUUACCUGACUCGUAAGAGACUUGUUUCCUAUCAAACCUACCGAUGGAUUUCACAUCUCUGUCUCAAGGUGGGUCCUUUAGUCCCAGGGCACUUUAAUCCUCCGUUACUGAGGAAUGAAGAUUGUACCUGCUUGCAUCACAAUGUACAGGAGAAAGACUUUGCAGCCCUGAAACAGGACUUUACGCGGUUACAAUGUUACAUUGAGGACUUGGGCUCUGCCAGGCUUUUGUCAUGAAAGGAAG